AAAAAUUGGUGCAACUCCAAAUAAAAGUA
rnacentral:ncRNA from 4 species